CAACGCUUGCCAAAGCAAACUCACGCCUCAAACUUCAAAUCUCCCAAGGGAGAACAACUGCCACCACUCAAAGCAGACAUGUUCGACGAAAGCCAAAGCCAUCAUCACCACGACGACGUUUUCAGCGAGAGCAAGGACUCCGGAGUGACUGAAGAGGCAACGGCGGUUCACGUCAAAGAAGAGAUGGAUGACUGUGCCUUUAACGGUUUCAUGGAUAAGACCCCGAAACCGAUGGAAGGCUUGCAUGACAUGGGACCCCCUCCGUUCCUGAAGAAGACCUUCGAUAUGGUGGAGGACCCUAAGACUGACCCCGUUGUCUCAUGGAGUCAAACUCGCGAUAGUUUCGUCGUUUGGGACUCCCAUGAAUUCUCCAAAACCCUUCUUCCCAAAUACUUCAAGCACAGCAAUUUCUCCAGCUUCAUUCGCCAGCUCAACACCUAUGUCAGUCAAUUUUUCCAUUUUUUCAACCUUCUCUUCCAUCUCUCCUUAUUUUUCUUUGACAUUAGCUUUCUAUUCUAUCUCUCUGUCUUCUUCUUUCUCAAAAAUACUGCUCACACUAUCCUAAAUCAAAAUUCUAUUUUUUUUAACAAUUUUAUGGAAUAAGAUCAAAUAUUCAAAUCGACGCCAUUUAUUCUUCCUAGUUAAUCUGUUAAACGAAAGUUUUGUAAUCUGUAUAAAUUGAACAUUUGAUUAAUAUAUUCUGAUUUCAGAAUUUUACUAACCAGUUUGAUGAACUUUUUGCAACAUCUAAUAAUAUUUUAGCUUUUGGUCUGAUUGAGUAUACAGUAAAGGGUUCUGUGUUAAGUAAUUGGAUUCAUCUGUUUUCAUAUAAUAUCAUUUUUGCGAUGUAAACGGAGGAUUUAUGGUGUGACGGAAACAGGGCUUCAGGAAGGUUGAUUCAGACCGUUGGGAGUUUGCGAAUGAAGGAUUCCAAGGAGGGAAGAGGCAUUUGCUGAAAAACAUAAGGAGGAGGGGCAAGUACAACAGACUGCAUCAGGGAACUUUCAAUAUGAUGAAGCCAGGCGUGGAGGCUGAAUUGGAGAAACUGAAGAAGGACCAAAACAUUUUGAAGGUGGAAAUUCUGAAACUGAGGCAGCAGCAGGAGAAUUCGCAUGUUCAGCUCACUAAUGCUCAGGAGAGAGUUCGGUGUGCAGAGAUGAAGCAGUAUCAGAUGAUGUUUUUCCUCACUAGAAUGGCUAGAAGGCCCGCNUUUGUUGAGCAGUUAAUCCAAAAGAUUAGGAGGAAAAGAGAGCUUGAUGGUAACGACAUGGUUAAGAGGCCUAGAUUGAUGGUGAACCCCUGCUAUGUACCCUUCCCAAAGACCACGGAAACAACCCCUGAUGUUGAUUACAGACAUCAAAGUCAUAAACAAUUCCCUUCAAUGCAAUCCGAGCUCGACGGAUUUCUGUCUGAAACUGUGAACAUCAGCAAGAUGGAGCACCCGACUCCCUCUCCCUUGGAAGAUGAAUUGUGUAACCCUGUGCAAGGGUCAAGGGCCCAUGGUUGUUCUAGCGCAAAUGCGCCAGAUGCUUCUUCUGCCUAUCAUGUUAUGUCAGAAAAACUAAUGCGGGAAAAUUCUGUAGUUGACGAAGAACUAGAUGUGAAUGACUCUAAUAUCUAUCUUGAAUUGGAGGAUUUGAUCACUAAGCCAUCGGAUUGGUCUCUUGGAUCUGCAAAUGGAUUGGUGGAACAAACUAGUUGAAGUGGCUGUCCCUUGUAAUGGUAAUCUUCCUCUCCAACUCUAUAAAUGUUUAGUUUUGAACAAUCUGGUCCUUAAUGUUGCAUUGGGCAAUUUAUGCAGGUGUGUGUGUGUGUGAAGAUGCCCUGCUGCUUUGAAAGUGCAGGACCUAGUUGCUCGCCCCAGCUUUUUAUAUGAUGAAGCGAGAAUUUUCAUGUUUGUGUUUGGUCGGGUCCAAAUUGUUCGUAUGUUGUACAGCCCUUUCCUCCCUUGGUGUUCCGUUCCUUAACAUAGGCUCUUAAGUCAUACAUCGGCAUGGCCAUAGCUAAGACUUUUAUGAUGUAGGUUGUAAAUUUGUAUUAACAUGGUUUAUCGUUCACUACUUCCGGUUUAUAAUUGCGUUCAUCUUCCAUAAAACAGAAGAUAGCGGAAAUAUGUUGAAGUUUUCUAUACUGAUAUCAGGUCAUUCUUGGAAAUAUUUUCUAAGAGAUAAAAAUCAAAGAAAUAGUGGAACACUUUCAAGACUCAAGAGACAGAAUGAAUGUGAACACAAGAAAAAGUUUUACAUUUGAACACAAAACUUAUAAUAACAUAUAGUAUGACUAUUUUAUUUUACUAAAUGCAUAAUAAAUAUCUCUCUAAGGUUUGUUCUCUAUGAUUUGUUCUCUAUAAUAGUCUAUUUAAAAAAGAAAUUAUUAAAAUAUCAUAAUUUCUGUAAUUUACUAAUUAAGAAGAGGAUUAUAGAUUAAAAUCAUUUUCACUUCUACUAAUUUAGAAUGAUACGGACCAAUAAAAUUUUAGAUUAAAAUCAUUUUUACUAUAAUAAAUGGAAAGUGUUGAAUUACAAUAUUUAUUGUUUUUUUAUUAUCUGCUAAAGUCCUUAUAUUUGAAGGGAAUUAACACAAAUGGUCAGUUUUGCCCUCGUCUAAUUUUUUAAUUAUCAAAUUUCACUUGAAAUGUGAGGUGUUGUGAGUAACCAAUUCCACUUGUAGUUGAAAUCUAUUCUAACAUUAAUGUUUCCGAUUCCACAUAAACAUUAUAUUUCAUUUAGACAAAAUUUAUAGUUUAUUUCAUUAUGUUUAAAUUAUUUGAUCGUGAGAGAAAAUAAUUAAUAAAAAAAUCAUUUUAUUUUUUUACUAUUUAUUAUCUAUUAUCUUUUUUAGUUCCUCUUUUUAUAUAAGUUUCUUGUAAGAUGAAAGAAGUAAGAAAAAAAAGGAAAAAAAAAAUAGUUGUAUUUUUUUACUUAUAUUUCAUGUUAAAAUAAUAUCAUAUUGAUUAUGUAGUUUUUUGAAAAGAAUUGUUCACAAAUUCUUAAAGUAAAUAGUAUAAAUAAUAAAAAUCAAAUAAAAUAUUAUUAUUAUAAAAAAGUUUCCUCGUAUACUUAUUUUAAACAAAAUAAUUUGACUUUACUUAAAUAAAAUUUUAUUUUUAUUUUUUAUUAAUUUUAAUUUUAUUUUACUACUUAAUAUAUUAUUAAUAAAUAUCAUUUUAUAUUUCUUUUACCAUUAAAAAAAUUUUAGCAAUUUUUAAUUUGUAUCAAUUAAAACAUUAUUUUUAUCUAUCACAUUGGUUAAAUCUUCCACAAACUUUAUUUCUAAGUUCAUUCUUAAUCACUUUUUUAAUUCAUUCUUAAUCACUUUUUAAUAUCUUAAAAGAACGACACACAAUUUAAUUCAAAUCUUCUUAAAUUAAUCUAAUUUCUCUCAUUCAAAUUAAUACAUCCUAAAUGAGUUUAGCCAUAUUCUUUAUAAAUUUUUUUUUACUUCCAACAGUUAAAUUUGUCCCUUAUUAUAUUUACAAGGUUUUUUUUUUUUUUUUCAUUUCACUCAACAAAGUAUUUUAGUCAUUAUUUAUAUAUUUCAUUGUGAGGUUUUAUGGUAAGUUUACUUACGAUGAUGAAAAAUGUUUUUUUUUUUUAUCUUAAAGAAUGAUUAUAGUAAUUUUAUUUGAAUAUUUUUUUUAUCAUGCAUAAAUCUAAAGUUGCUAAUAUUAUAAAAUGCUUUUUUUUUUUUUUCAAAUAGUUCAAACUUAAUUUAAGACAAAGAUAGUGUUUUAGGUCUGACGAUGAAAAAAAAAUUGGUCCUACUCAUUUUCUAAUAGAACAGGAAAUCCUCCAUUAAAUUUCUUGUGUUGAGAGAUAUGAACAAAAUUUAUUAGUUGAGAGAAAACAUUAAUAUCUAUUGAAUCUUGCUUGAGUUUUAUUCUAAAAAUCAAAUAAUUUAAAUACCAACAACUUAAGUCUUUGAAGGUAAUAACACUUGGUUUAUAGUCCUUUACCAGAGUAAAUAUUGUACAUCACACAAAUGUUUUUAAAUUGAAAUAGAAAAUUAGCUUAAUAAAAUAGCUUUAAAUUUAUUAUAAUUUUUCUUCACUUAUUCACUUAUAUUAUAAUUUGAUAUUUAUAUUUAGACAACGUGAGAUUUCCAAUAUACAUUCUUAUUAGAAAACAUCAAAGUAUGAAAAUUGAAGAAAAAUUAAUAACAAAUGAUUAAAUAAAUUCAAUAUUAAUUGGGAUAAAGUUUAUGAAAAAGAUAUGAUAGAAUGAAUAAAUGUUAUGAAAAUAAAAUAUUUUCAUAUUAAAUUUUGUCUUUAAGUGAUAAAAUCUGGCAUAUUCUUAAUAUUUAAAUCGUGUACCCUGAUGUGGUAGAGUGUAGCUAACAUGUCUCACUUUAUUCACACUUGUUACUUUUGGUCUGUGACCGAUUGGUAAUGUUUAUCAAUAGUCUGUGAAAUCUGAUCAACACUGAAAAAUUGGGUCCAGUCUGAGAGUCACAAAAAUUUAUUAUAAGGCUAACUUUGAGUCACGUUUUCAUGUAACAAAAAGUCAGAACUCGUAACUCGGAUACAUAAGUCCAACCGAUUACUAUUACAAUCAAUAACAUCAUCAAACGACAUGUCUCUUAUUUACUACCUUGUCAUCACCGUUUAAAAUAUCUCUCACAUUCAAUGUUUUUGUUUUUGGAACAUUUUACAUAAAGACAGUUCUCAAUUUUUUGUAUAAGAAAAGGUGUGUGGAUAGGUACUGUUAUCUCUUUUGUCUAACGAGUAUUUAUCAAACUGCAUAAAGUUGUUGCACCAAUUAGCCCUGCCAACACUUGUAAUGCAUGCAGCUGAUGACCGACAACACUCACUCAGUAACCCAACCGCAUGGACCGUAACCGUAGCAUUUAUCGGUUUGCAUUCUUUUGCUAUUUUUGUUCUCUUCUUUAUCAUAUAACUUGCAAUUGGUUUGGUUGAUAUAUUUAUUUAUGUUGUUAGAAAAUAAACGGUAAGAGAUAAGGAGUGAGACCAAAAUUAGAUUUGAUAUGGACCUGAGCAAGACUAUUUCCGUACAAGUGGCAAGAAACUAAGAGUCAUCAAAACGUGGCUGUCCAAAGGAGUUUCCUAAAAUGGACACUCACAAAGAUACGCUAUCCAUUACCUUCUUCUCUUCUUCCCAUUAAAAUACUCUUUUUCCUUCUUUUCACACUCUCUAUAAAUGGAACACACAACACUCCCAUUCCUCACACUGCUUUCCAACUAUUCAACGCUUCAAACAUCAAAUCACUGCCAUGGGAGAACAACUGCCACCACUCAAAGCAGAGAUCUUUGACGACAGCGAAAGUCAUCGCCACGACGACGUUUUCAGCGACAGCAAGGACUCCGGUCUGACUGAAGAGCCAACGGCGGUUCACAUCAAAGAAGAACUGGAUGACGGCGCCGUUAACGGUUUCAUGGAUAAGAUGCCGAAACCUAUGGAAGGCUUGCACGAGAUGGGGCCCCCACCGUUCCUGAAGAAGACCUUCGAUAUGGUGGAGGACCCUAGGACUGACCCCGUUGUCUCAUGGAGUCAAACUCGCGAUAGCUUCGUCGUUUGGGACUCCCAUGAAUUCUCCAAAACCCUUCUUCCCAAAUACUUCAAGCACAGCAAUUUCUCCAGCUUCGUUCGCCAGCUCAACACCUAUGUCAGUCAAAUUUUCCGCAUUCUCACCUUUUCUUCUAUCUCUCCUUAAUUUUCUCUCACCUUACCCUUCUAUUGUACCUCUCUCUCCUCUUCUUUCUCAAAAAUACUGCUCACACUAUGAUACAUCAAAAUUCUUUUUUUUUAAUAAUUUUAUGAAUUAGGAUCAAAUAUUCAAAUCUAUAAAAUAACCUUUCAUUUAGAUCAACUGACGCCAUUUAUUCUUCCUAAUUAAUCUAUGGAACGAAGGAUUUGUAAUCUGUAUAAAUUGAACAUUUCAUUAGUAAAUUCUGAUUUCAGAAUUUUACUGACCAUUUUGAUGAAUUUCUUGCAACAUUUAAUAAUAGUUUAGCUUUUAGUCUGAUUGCGUAUACAGUAAAGGGUUCUGUGUUAAGUAAUUGGAUUCAUCUGUUUUCAUAUAAUAUCAUUUUUGCGAUGUAAACGGAGGAUUUAUGGUGUGACGGAAACAGGGCUUCAGGAAGGUUGACUCAGACCGUUGGGAGUUUGCGAAUGAAGGAUUCCAAGGAGGGAAGAGGCAUUUGCUGAAGAACAUAAGGAGGAGGAGUAAGUACAACAGACUGCAUCAGGGAGCUUUCAAUAUGAUGAAGCCAGGCGUGGAGGCUGAAGUGGAGAAACUGAAGAAGGACCAGAACAUUUUGAAGGUGGAAAUUCUGAAACUGAGGCAGCAGCAGGAGAAUUCGCAUGUUCAGCUCACUAAUGCUCAGGAGAGAGUUCGGUGUGCAGAGAUGAAGCAGUAUCAGAUGAUGUUUUUCCUCACUAGAAUGGCUAGAAGGCCCGCAUUUGUUGAGCAGUUAAUCCAAAAGAUUAGGAGGAAAAGAGAGCUUGAUGGUAACGACAUGGUUAAGAGGCCUAGAUUGAUGGGAAACCCCUGCUGUGUACCCUUCCCAAAGACCAUGGAGACAACCCCUGAUGUUGAUUACAGACCCCAAAAUCAUAAACAAUUCCCUUCCAUGCAAUCCGAGGUCGGUGGAUUUCUGUCUGAAACUGUGAACAUCAGCAAGAUGGAGCACCCAACUCCCUCCCCCUUGGAAGAUGAAUUGUGUAACCCUGUGCAAGGGUCAAGGGCCCAUGGUUGUUCUAGCGCAAAUGCGCCAGAUUCUUCUUCUGCCUAUCAUGUUAUGUCAGAAAAACUAAUGCGGGAAAAUUCUCUAGUUGAUGAAGAAUUAGAUGUGAACGACUCUAAUAUCUAUCUUGAAUUGGAGGAUUUGAUCACUAAGCCAUCGGAUUGGUCUCUUGCUGCAAAUGGAUUGGUGGAACAAACUAGUUGAAGUGAUCUCACUAGUGUGGUUGUCCCUUGUAGUGGAAAUCUUCCUCUCCAACUCUCUAAAUGUUUAGUUAUGAACAAUCUGGUCCUGAAUGUUGCAUUUGGCAAUUUAUGCAGGGUGCAAUUUCAGGUUGCAGGAGUGUGUGUGAUGCUCUGCUGCUACGUAAGAUGAAGAGCUUAAUAUUAUAUGGCUCUUCAAUUACCAGCUUUGAAAGCGCAGGAGGACCCAGUUGCUCGCCCCAGCUUUUUAUAUGAUGAAGCGAGAGUUUUCAUGUUUCAGUUUGUUUGUGUCAAAAUUGUUCAUAUGUUGUACAGCCCUUUCCUCCCUUGGCGUAGUAAUUAACUAUGUAGGUUGUAAAUUUGCAUUACCGAACAUGGUUUAUAGUUCAAUACUUGGGGUGUAUAAUUACGUUACUGUUCCGUUUCAGCCUUUGUCUAAUGUAGCCUGUCCUUUCCUUUGUCUCCUAUAAUUUGUAGUCAUCGGCUUCGUCACUUACUUUCAGGUUUAGGCUUUCAAGAUGAUUUUGGAGACGUCUCUGUCUUCAGAGCUGUUACAAUCUGUCUUUUUCCUUGUCUCAGAUUUUUGCGAAUCAUUUCACUUCUCUCAUAUUUUCCUGAAUCACGAUUUUCAGCUUGGAAAAUAUUAACGAUGAGGUUAUUCAG
rnacentral:lncRNA from 1 species